AUCAUGAUGCCACAUUCUCUCUCUCUCUCUCUCUCUCUCUCUCUCUCUGUGUGUGUGUGUGUGUGAGAGAGAGAGAGAGAGAGAGAGAGAGAGAGAGAUCUGACGGGCUGG